rnacentral:rRNA from 1 species
CAGUAGCCGCGGUAAUACGUAGGGUGCAAGCGUUAAUCGGAAUUACUGGGCGUAAAGCGUGCGCAGGCGGUUAUAUAAGACAGAUGUGAAAUCCCCGGGCUCAACCUGGGAACUGCAUUUGUGACUGUAUAGCUAGAGUACGGCAGAGGGGGAUGGAAUUCCGCGUUUAGCAGUGAAAUGCGUAGAUAUGCGGAGGAACACCGAUGGCGAAGGCAAUCCCCUGGGCCUGUACUGACGCUCAUGCACGAAAGCGUGGGGAGCAAACAGGAUUAGAUACCCCCGUAGUCCCUGUCUCUUAUAC